rnacentral:rRNA from 1 species
GAUGAACGCUGGCGGCAUGCCUAACACAUGCAAGUCGAUCGGUAAGGCUCUUCGGAGUACACGAGAGGCGGACGGCUGAGUAACGCGUAGGAACACACCCUGCAGUGAGGGAUAAGACACCGAAAGGUGUUCUAAUACCGCAUACGGUCUUCGGAUUAAAGCAUUUAUGCGCUGAAGGAGUGGCCUGCGUCAUAUUAGAUAGUUGGUGAGGUAAUGGCUCACCAAGUCGAUGAUGUGUAGCUGGUCUGAGAGGAUGAUCAGCCAGACUGGAACUGAGACACGGUCCAGAAUCAUACGGGAGGCAGCAGUGAGGAAUAUUGCACAAUGAGCGAAAGCGUGAUGGAGCAAUGCCGCGUGCAGGAUGAAGGCCCUCGGGUUGUAAACUGCUUUUAUAAGAGAAGAUUAUGACGGUAACUUAUGAAUAAGGGACGGCUAACUACGUG